AACGAACGCUGGCGGCGUGGAUAAGACAUGCAAGUCGAACGGGACUAAAUCUGUAGCAAUACAGGUUUUAGUUUAGUGGCGAACGGGUGCGUAACACGUGGGCAAUCUGCCGAGAAGUGGGGGAUAGCUCGCCGAAAGGACGAAUUAAUACCGCAUAUGAUCAGGACGACAUCUUCCAACAUCAAAGCCGGGCAACCUGGCGCUUCUUGAUGAGCCCGCGGCCUAUCAGCUAGUUGGUGAGGUAACGGCUCACCAAGGCUAUGACGGGUAGCUGGUCUGAGAGGACGACCAGUCACACUGGAACUGAGACACGGUCCAGACACCUACGGGUGGCAGCAGUCGAGUAAUUUUUCUUCAAG
rnacentral:rRNA from 1 species